rnacentral:misc_RNA from 1 species
UUCCAAACAUCGCCCUAACAGUUUUAACAGUAACAUACGAAUCUAUAGCUCUCUCUUCUCUCUCACUUUUCUCUCUCUUUCGAAGCUCUAAAGUCUAAACUGACAGCCGAAGUCUUAUCUCUCUCUAGGAUGAAGCAGACCAUCGCCACCGCCGCCUCCGCGCAUUUCCGCCGCUGUCCGCCCUCUGUCUCUUAGAUGAUGAAACUAUCCAUUUCUCCUUACAUCGUCUUCUCCGUCGUCAGUGUUACAUUUCUGUCUUUCUUUUUCUCUUUACCAUUGACCACCCAUGCCUUGGGAUCCAGUUCCACACUCGCUGUCACCUCCACCUCCGUGUGCGGCAUCGUGGGGGAGAAGUCCACCCAGAGCAUCAUAUGCUAUAGAACAAGUGGCGAUAUUAUAAGCGUCGAACCCAAUGUCUCCUUCUCUGCUAUUUCCGGUGGGCAGGACUUCUUCUGUGGUCUCCGGUCCGGCGGAUAUGCUUUCUUGUGUUGGGACACAUCCAAUUCAAGUGAUAAUUCGAGUUUCAAUAACCCAAAAAGAGUUUACUUUAACACCACUGUUCUAUUACAAAAUCUCGCGGUGGGUGAGAAUCAUGUUUGCGCGAUUGUAAACGACACAGCGAAUGCCAAUGGCACCGGUACUGUUAGAUGCUGGAGAGGCGAUGGACAUGUCAGCAACCAAACGCCGGCAGAUGGUGAUCAAUUUGAGUCAAUCUCAUCUGGGAAUGGAUUUUCGUGUGGGAUUUUGAUGAAUAGUAGCAGGAUUCGGUGUUGGGGAAACAACCCAAUAGCGACAAAGAUAGAGUCCGAAUUUGGGAAUAUGCCAAUGGGUAGUAUUGCAGCGGGUGGUUCCCAUGUUUGUGGAGUGAAUUCAACUGGGUUCUUGGUUUGUAAAGGAGAUAAUAGCUCUGGUCAGUUGGAUGUUCCUGUGAAUUCUGCAUUGGAAUAUUAUCAAUUAGCUCUUGGAGCUAAUUAUAGUUGCGCACUUAGAAGAAAUGGAACGGUGGUUUGUUGGGGAGGAAGAGGAUUAUAUUCUGUUAAUGGAACUGUGGGGAUUUUCUUUGAGUCUAUUGUUUCAGGGUCUAAUUUCACUUGUGGAUUGACGACCUGGAAUUUUUCGAUAAUGUGUUGGGGACCAGGGUGGCCUAAUGUGGAUAAUUCUGGGGUUCAGGUUCUUCCAUUCACAGACCAAAUUCUCCCAUGGCCGUGUGUACAAUCUUCUUGUGAAGGUCGAUUGUAUCCAGAUUCUGACAGAUUGUGUUCUGGUUCAGGAAAUGUUUGCUACCCUCCAGGGUUCAAUGUUUCAAAUCCCUUCCCGUCACCUGCACCACCGCCAUUGUUACCAUUAGUUCCACCGCCGUCAAUUUUGCCUUCUCCAUCAUCUCCAUCCAGGGAAUUGACAAAUGGGUUAUUGGCGUUUGCCAUUGUUGGAUCAGUAGGAGCUUUUGCUGGUAUUUGCACUAUCAUUUACUGCCUGUGGACAGGAGUUUGUUUUGGCAAAAAGAAAGUGCAUAAUUCGGUUCAACCCACAAUAACUAGAGCUGGUUCCAAUGGUGGCACCACAUCAAACAAUAGUGGUCUUAUUUCGAGAUCAUCAACGAUUAGGCGUCAGAGCUCGAGGGCAAUGAGGCGCCAGAGGAGUGGAACCUCAUCGAAACAUGCAGAUAGGGCUGAGGAAUUUAGUCUAACUGAGCUUGCUGCUGCUACCAAUGAUUUCUCACUAGAGAACAAGAUUGGUGCAGGGAGCUUUGGUGUUGUUUAUAGGGGCAAAUUAGUUGAUGGUCGUGAAGUGGCGAUCAAGAGAGGGGAAACAGGUCAAAAGACAAAGAAGUUUCAAGAGAAAGAGAGUGCUUUUGAAUCUGAGUUGGCAUUCUUGUCAAGGCUUCACCACAAGCAUUUGGUUAGGCUUGUUGGGUAUUGUGAAGAUGGGGAUGAGAGGCUUCUAGUUUAUGAGUACAUGAAGAAUGGAGCUUUGUAUGAUCAUUUACAUGACAAGAACAAUAUUGAAAAGAAGAGUAGUGUGAUCAAUUCUUGGAAA